rnacentral:rRNA from 1 species
UACGAAGGGGGCUAGCGUUGCUCGGAAUCACUGGGCGUAAAGCGCACGUAGGCGGCUUUUUAAGUCAGGGGUGAAAUCCUGGAGCUCAACUCCAGAACUGCCUUUGAUACUGGGAAGCUUGAGUCCGGAAGUGGUGAGUGGAACUCCGAGUGUAGAGGUGAAAUUCGUAGAUAUUCGGAAGAACACCAGUGGCGAAGGCGGCUCACUGGUCCGGUACUGACGCUGAGGUGCGAAAGCGUGGGGAGCAAACAGG